rnacentral:rRNA from 1 species
AUUGAACGCUGGCGGCAUGCUUUACACAUGCAAGUCGAACGGUAACAGGCCUUUGGGUGCUGACGCGUGGCGCACGGGUGAGUAAUGCAUCGGAACGUGCCCAGAGGUGGGGGAUAACGCAGCGAAAGCUGUGCUAAUAUCGCACGUGAUCUGAGGAUGAAAGCGGGGGACCAAUUAGCAAUGUUUGGCCUCGCGCCUCUGGAUCGGCCGAUGUCAGAUUAGGUAGUUGGUGGGGUAAAGGCCUACCAAGCCGACGAUCUGUAGCUGGUCUGAGAGGACGACCAGCCACACUGGGACUGAGACACGGCCCAGACUCCUACGGGAGGCAGCAGUGGGGAAUUUUGGACAAUGGGCGCAAGCCUGAUCCAGCAAUGCCGCGUGCGGGAAGAAGGCCUUCGGGUUGUAAACCGCUUUUGUACGGAACGAAAAGGAUUUGGCUAAUACCUGGGGCUGAUGACGGUACCGUAAGAAUAAGCACCGGCUAACUACGUG